CCUACGGGAGGCAGCAGUGGGGAAUAUUGCACAAUGGACGAAAGUCUGAUGCAGCAACGCCGCGUGGAGGAUGACACAUUUCGGUGCGUAAACUCCUUUUAUAUAGGAAGAUAAUGACGGUACUAUAUGAAUAAGCACCGGCUAACUCCGUGCCAGCAGCCGCGGUAAUACGGAGGGUGCAAGCGUUACUCGGAAUCACUGGGCGUAAAGAGCGUGUAGGCGGGUAUAUAAGUCAGAAGUGAAAUCCAAUAGCUUAACUAUUGAACUGCUUUUGAAACUGUAUACCUAGAAUGUGGGAGAGGUAGAUGGAAUUUCUGGUGUAGGGGUAAAAUCCGUAGAGAUCAGAAGGAAUACCGAUUGCGAAGGCGAUCUACUGGAACAUUAUUGACGCUGAGACGCGAAAGCGUGGGGAGCAAACAGGAUUAGAUACCCCUGGUAG
rnacentral:rRNA from 1 species